rnacentral:rRNA from 1 species
ACGGCUCAGUAACACGUGGACAACCUACCCUGAGGUCGGGGAUAAACCCGGGAAACUGGGUAUAAUACCCGAUAGAUCUAGAUCGCUGGAAUGCUUUUAGGUCUAAAGUUCCGACGCCUCAGGAUGGGUCUGCGGCCUAUCAGGGUAGUAGUGGGUGUAAAGUACCUACUAGCCUACGACGGGUACGGGUUGUGAGAGCAAGAGCCCGGAGAUGGAUUCUGAGACACGAAUCCAGGCCCUACGGGGUGCAGCAGGCGCGAAACCUUUACAAUGCUGGCAACAGCGAUAAGGGGACCUCGAGUGCUACGAUACAAUCGUGGCUGUCUAGUUGCCUAAAAAGCAAUUGAUAGCAAGGGCCGGGCAAGACCGGUGCCAGCCGCCGCGGUAACACCGGCGGCUCGAGUGGUAACCGCUAUUAUUGGGUCUAAAGGGUCUGUAGCCGGCUUAGUUAGUCUCUUGAGAAAUCUGGCCGCUCAACGGUCAGGCGUUCAGGGGAUACUGCUAAAGCUCGAGACCGGGAGAGGUGAGAGGCACUUCAGGGGUAGGGGUGAAAUCUUGUAAUCCUUGAAGGACCACCAGUGGCGAAGGCGUCUCACCAGAACGGAUCUGACGGCAAGGGACGAAAGCUAGGGGCACGAACCGGAUUAGAUACCCGGGUAGUCCUAGCCGUAAACGAUACUCGCUAGGUGUCGGCCACGGUGCGACCGUGGUCGGUGCCGUAGGGAAGCCGUGAAGCGAGCCACCUGGGAAGUACGGCCGCAAGGCUGAAACUUAAAGGAAUUGGCGGGGGAGCAC